GACGAACGCUGGCGGCGUGCUUAACACAUGCAAGUCGAACGGUGAAGGGACCAGCUUGCUGGUUCUGGAUGAGUGGCGAACGGGUGAGUAACACGUGAGUAACCUGCCCCCUUCUUCUGGAUAACCGCAUGAAAGUGUGGCUAAUACGGGAUAUUCUGGGUCUGUCGCAUGGCGGGCCCGGGAAAGAUAUUGCUUCGGUGGGGGAUGGGCUCGCGGCCUAUCAGCUUGUUGGUGGGGUGAUGGCCUACCAAGGCGGUGACGGGUAGCCGGCCUGAGAGGGUGGACGGUCACACUGGGACUGAGACACGGCCCAGACUCCUACGGGAGGCAGCAGUGGGGAAGAUUGCACAAGGGGCGCAAGCCUGAUGCAGCGACGCCGCGUGAGGGAUGGAGGCCUUCGGGUUGUAAACCUCUUUCGCCAGUGAAGCAGGCCUGCUCCUUGUGGGUGGGUUGACGGUAGCUGGAUAAGAAGCGCCGGCUAACUACGUG
rnacentral:rRNA from 1 species